GAUUUGGGGCUAGUAUGAAGUUAUCUCAAUUGAUUGUUCAUAGCAGUUACAGACUGAACUCCUUGUUCUACUCUCUUCCCCAUUCUCACUACUGCACUUGACCGAUCUUUA
rnacentral:sRNA from 1 species